rnacentral:tRNA from 1 species
GGCGAUAGCUCAGUGGUAGAGCGCGGGCUUAGCAUGCAGGAGGUCCUGGGUUCAAUCCCCAGUACUGCCA